rnacentral:tRNA from 1 species
GCCGAAAUUGCUCAGUUAGGAGAGCGUUAGACUGAAUAUCUAAAAGUCCCUGGUUCGAUCCCGGGUUUCGGCA